UUGGUCAGCAAUGUCUGCAGCCAUGUUGGCCUUGGGUAGGUUCCUUGGAUGCUGUAAAACUCCUCGUGUUUUCAUGUGACUGUUCCAAGGAGUCCUUGAAUCGUUUCUUAAAAUUCCUAGGCCUUCAUUUCCAUUUUCUUAGGACAUAGAAGGGAGAGGGGAAGGAAGAGUUAAUUUUUUACAAAAAUGUUUGAAUGAACUGGUAUUUAUAUAUGUGAAAGCAGGCAUGGAAAUCCCCCUCUCCGAAUACCAGAUCUAAUCCUAGAGGGUUCAGUAAAAGUUGAUUUCUGCAACUGUAGCAGACUUCAUUUUCUGCCGCCCUGAAAUAAAUAUAUCAGUAAGCUUGUCUCUCCAGCCACGUACCUACCCACCGGCAUUGUGGUAUCACCACGUGACUCUCUGAAACCUGAAGCUUGAAAGAGGUGCAGGGACUCACGGGGCAAGCAGGGAAAUUCACGGCAGACGAUGUGAAAGGAGCUCUUUUGUGACCAUGAGGCAAUAUCCAUGAGGGCAAAAGGCCAAGGGGUGGAGCUAAGGAAGCUGUAGAAAGGCAGAUGGAA